UCCCUCUCUUCAUUCACAAUAAGAAAAUGGAAAAAAAAAAGCGAAAAGGAAAAAAAAAUCAGAAUAUCUCAUUUUACCACAAGUUGACCGAAAGAAAACGAAGACCGUUGCAUCGUCACCGUCAGCAUCAUUAAAGUUACAAAAUCAGCCUUAUCAAUGAAUAAAUAAUCCCAUAAAAAAUCAUGGGGAACACCAACACAUGAUCAUAGCAGUUAGUCUGUGUCUGGGUACGAAGGAUGAAGCCAUGUUGUUCGCAGCCUCCGACGAAAUCCCCCAAUAACUAGGCACAGACCAGUUUGAAGGAAAGCAUGUGAGACUGGUUAUUAUCGAAGAGAAAGGCUUUCGCUUUUGCCUUUUGGCCACCACGGUAACUUGGGAGGGCGUGUUUGGAUGGGGAUCGAGUCGGAUGAGAUUUCAGUUAUGGCGAAAUAUAGUUAAAACUUAAAAGCGAGCUCACAGAUCUGAGACGCAUGUGAUAUGAGAUAAAAAGUGAAAAAGGAAGUGGUGGUGCUUUUAUUUCACAACAAUCAUAGUUAGUAAUAAAACCAGAAACAGUGAAGGCUUUGAACGGUUUUGGGAGAGAGUAGGAUCACGUGGAGCGAUCAGAGAAGAAGAGCUGUGUGGAAGACAAUCCACAUGGAAUUAGCAGCUCGACUCCCCCAUUUUAUUCAUAUUUCAGUCUCGUGGUGCUAUACCGAACCAAAACAUUUGGUCACAAGAGGGCAGAAGAAUUAUGCUCUUCCUUUUAUACGCGCACAAUGGUUGAUUGAUUGCACAUAACGUUGAAUUAGUAACUCAUAUGCGAAGAGUUAUGUGGGAUUAGCUUUUUUUGUCGUUAUUACCAUCUGGGGAGGCCGGGGUCCUGAUUUUCAUCUUUUUAUUUGUUUUCGUGUAUUAAUAGUUGUAAAUCAGACUUAACUCCAUUGAUCAAGGAAUAUCCAUAUGUAUACAAGUACAGCAACUGAAACCUUUGAGAUUCUGUACAAUGUCUAUUAGUUUAUGCUGCCCGGAUAUUGAUGA